rnacentral:lncRNA from 1 species
CUGUAGUACAGGCUGUCCCCAGCAGCGGAGUCAGUGCGCCCCACGUGACGGCUCCGUCUUCAGGCUUUGGCUCUUCGGUGAGCUCCACAAACAGACGCACAUACACACACGCACACACACAUACACACACUCUCUCUGCUCUCCAUCCAGUCUCUCAUUUCUCUCCCUUCCUUAUCUCUUCCCCUCCUCUCUCUCCCUCUGAAUACACACACGCACGCACACACACACACACACACACACACACACACACACACACAUACAGACACAGACACACACACAGACACAUACCCACCCGUACCGGCAGCAGCGGCGGCGGCAGCAGCCCGGCAGCAGAAGUCAGGGCAAACCUCUAGGUUCGGUCUUUAGUAACGGCAGCAUCAGUAAAAAUCCCAGGAAGGGAGAAGAGUUGAGAGGUUCCUUUUGCAUUUCUUUUCUUUUCCUUUUUGGAGAGAUUUUUUUUUUGUUGUGUUGGGUUUUUUUUCCUCCCCAUUUUGUUUGCAUCCAGAGGAUGGCAGGCUGCGGGCUAUCGGAAGAUGCCUUCUUCUCCUCUUUCUUUUACAACUACAGCUCCUCCUGGGAAACCUCCUACAACCAGUGAACAGUUAGUGGCAGCUGAUGCUGUGCUGUGAUGCUUAUGGAAAGGCCACCAGAAGGUAAUGUCUUUUCUUGGUCUUUUGGAUUUGAACUAGUAACCUGGAGGUGAGAACUUCUGUAUUCCAUUACCAAUCCUUUGAGCCCUCCAGUGCACCCUGAAAUAGCCAUGACACUUGUUGUCAUGUGUGGUAUGUCACAUCCGUUCAUGAGGAAAACCUACACCCGAAGGAAAGAGAAUACUCUGGACAAAUCCCAUGAUAGCAGCUUGGUAAUUAACAGCUCCAGCUUCCGAUUGGGAGAUGACUAAUAGUAGCUCAUUGCCAGACUGUGUUAAUAAUCAUAAAUGGGGGGUGAUCCCAUAUCAACACCCCCUUAGUGGGCCCUUGUUUUUGUUUCUCAUUAACUAAAGUGAUUUUUCUUGUUAGAGGGAAUAGUUUUAAUCAUUACUAUAGAGGAGACCAGAGAGACUCAUAUGAGGGCUUCAUGAUAUUCCAAGAUGGUUGUAAUGUUGUCAUUUAUGAGAAUCAGCAGUCCACAGGUAACAACUGGCUGUCAUCUCCACUGACGAUCCUCUGAGGGCAAAAAAAAAAACCCGCCAUUACAAAUACCAAUGAAGCUCAGUGUUGUUUUGUUAAUAAAGGCUUUAUAAAAACCA